CAUGUCCUUUUGAAUUUAAUUUAAGGUCUAAUCUGCUCAAUGAUAUUUAAAUUGCCGCAGUAUUUUGACUGUGCAAAGGUAGCAUAAUAAUUAGUUUCUUAAUUAGAAACUGGAAUGAAUGAUUGGACAAGAAAGUUUCUGUCUCUUUUUUAAAUUUUUUGAAUUUAAUUUUUAAGUGAAAAAGCUUAAAUUUUUAUAAAAGACGAUAAGACCCUAUAGAGUUUGAUAUUUGGUAUUAAUUUAAUUUUAGAAAUAUUUUUUUAUUAUUGUUUAUUUGGUUGGGGUGAUUUAAAGAUUAAAAAAAUUCUUUAAUAUUUUAAUUAGUGAUUUCUAAAUUAUAAAUCUAUUUAUUAUAAAAAUAAAAUAAAUUACCUUAGGGAUAACAGCGUAAUUUUUCUUUAAAGUUCUUAUUGAAAGAAAAGUUUGCGACCUCGAUGUUGGAUUAAAAUUAAUUUUUGGUGCAGUAACUUAAAAAUUAGGUCUGUUCGACCUUUAAAAUUUUACAUGAUCUGAGUUUAAACCGGUGUAAACCAGGUUGGAUUCUAUCUUUAGAAAUAUUGUAUAUUUUAGUACGAAAGGACCAAAUAUAUAUUAAAUUAAUU
rnacentral:rRNA from 2 species